GUCUGCUAGUUUGACUUUUUUAACUUACCAAGUUUUGUUUUGUCUUUGACUCUUUCUCUUUGUGUUGAAGCGAUGGAAGCAUGUGAGGAGACAUUAUCCAAAAUGAAACUAGAAUUCCGAUUAAACUAUAAGUGAAAUAAAAUAAAGUAUAAAGUAGGCUAAUAAUAUAAAUUACCGUUUGAAUCUUCUGUCUGGUGCAAACAUGGACUCGAAGGUGGAAUCAAUUCUCCCCUCCAAAAUAUGAUGAAAUAAGAUGAUGCAGAAUUGUGUUAAUAGCACCCCAGGAUUUCCAUCAUUCAACUCUAUUGAAAGUCAAAAUCCUUGAUCGUCAAGGGUGUCUUUAAGCUAGUGUUCAUCUUGUUCUGUGGUGGAGAAAAUGUCAUCAGGAUUGUAACAGACCCAUUCGCUGUCUCACUUAGUUUGUCAUCUAGAUGGGUGUGCAAUUAAAGCUGAACAUUAUUGACUUAAGAAUGCAGCUUAACUAAAGCUACAGAUACCAUCAUCGGACAAGGAUUUAAAUUUCUUUUCAAAAAUCUUUCUGUUUGCAGCCCAAGUUUAUACCAAACAUCUCGGUAAAUGAAUUCAACUCCAUUGAAAGUCAAAUCAUGCUGCCAAGCUUCACCUGCAGCUCGUGAAGGAGUGUCAACUCCUCACAAUUCUGUAGAACAUGAAAAGGAAGAUCUCAUUUUCUGAAGUGGCAAUAGCAAACCUUAGAAAAACAGUUGGAACACAGAAACCCAAUGGAUACAUCAAGAACAACCCACCCACAAAGAAAUUGAACUGAACCCCGAAGACCCUUUUUAUUUUUACCUUAAAUGCCCAUUUCAAAAGUUUGCCUGAAAUAGCAAGAAUUCCAAUUUGCAGUCUAACUCGCGACCAGCUAGUCUUACCAUGUGCAGGGGCCGAGAGGAUGCGGCCCGUAGUCUCGAACAUCGAAAGGACGUCGACGACGGAUCAUCCUUUAUCGUUGUUGUUAUGAAGUUUUUGUUAGUUAACCCGUUGGCUACCAUUUUUUCUUCCUCGUGUGAGCUCUUGCUCUUCACUGUGGUCGAGACGCCCACCCCCCUAAAUCCAUAAGUUCAAUAUUUUGCCCGAAAUAGCAGGAAUUCCAAUAGUUUGUCUAAAAUAGCAAGAACGAAUUCCAAUUUUGCCUGAAAUAGCAAGAAUUCCAAUCUCCAGUCUACGCGGAAUCGUUUACCAAACUGUAAAACCGCAAAAAAGCAAAGUUAACUCCGUUUUGUUAGUUAACCUGUUGGCUGCCAAUUUUUCCUCCUCAUGUGAGCUUUUUCAUUUGAUGGAGAGCCGACCGAUAAAUAGUCGACCCCCACCAAAAUUCACUCUCGGUGGUCAUGCCUAUGCUCCUUAGUCCGUAGACCAAGACGGAAGUUAGUUCCUAUUUUUUUAAAACUAUAAUCCUAAAUACUGAGGAAACACUCUUUCAUGUCUCGAUUUUUACAGACACUCUCGCUUACAUUAUAUCCUUUAAAAACCCACCGAUCCCAGUUAUCCCCUUUGCGUUGAAACAUCACUUAAAAAUUAAAAUUUUUAAAAAAAGGUGCAUUAUGAUGGAAUCAAUUGUCGUUUGAUGUCCUUUGUUUUUAAACAUGAACUCGUUCAGUUUCAAAAAUUUCUGAUGUCAGAAGUUGAGGUAAACCACGGUAUUUAACCAGCCAUCACAUUCAAAAUAUGCUGAUUGCUUAUUCAGUUUUGUUUCUUAUUUCCCCUGGUCCGUAGUGAGUUGCUGCUACUCACUACGGUGUACUUCGUCAAUUUUCCCAUCAUAAAAAUGACAAAGGUAAUUGCUUGAAUUCCUUAAGGUUACUGAAUGUAAUUUUUGAUGCGUGAAUUUACAAGUAAUCUAGCCUAUAAUUUCCUUUCGGACCGUAACUGCUGCAACAUUUUACCAAAAUGUCGUCUCUUGCUAUGCUGCAACAUUUUGUCGAAAUGUCGUCUAUUUGCCAUGCUAGCUGUAUCAGCUGUACGUCUCAAUUUUUCCCGAUUGGUGCUCUUCAAACACCAUCAACAUGUUGGUUUGUUCUCAUUUGAACUACCCCAUUAAAAGUCCUCAUUGUUGAAUCCAUUUUCUUGAAAGGGAUAAAUCCUACAACAAAUUGGUUCUCCCCACCACGUCUUUUUCGGAGGCCUUUUUUUAUUUUAAAAAUUGCUUGCCCCUGUGGUAUAUUUUUUCACGAGAACUUUGGUUUUAAGUCUUUACCCAGUUUUUCAGUAAAAAUCUAAUUUUUAGAUUUGUCAGCCAAACUGAUUUGGUUUUCGAACGUUAGACUGGAGCAGUCCAGUUUUUGCCGCCAUGUUCCAUUUGUGCUGAUUGAACGAAGUACCGUUCUUUAUUGUGAACCCGUUAAAAUUAGUUAGCGUCAAUGACGCUCGGUUUACAUCACGACAGUAAUUGAUCAAAUGGCACCGUAAGUUGUAGGUUCCAUUUGAUCAACUACAGGACAAAAUGUAAAAGAACGAGGGCUCAGCCUACAGUCCAUAGUUGGCCAAGAGAAUUUCCGUGUGACUCUCUCGACCAACUGCGGAGAGUUGACUGACGAUGGAACGUUGGAUGGCCAGCCUUUUAAAUGAAAUAUGAAGGCCAUCAACUUAAAAAAGGGCAAUCUCAAGGUCUUUUAACCUGUGGUAGAAAACUAUUCAAGGUAGAAGUGGCGUUGAUAGAUAUUUCAAGGUAAGCUGGGGGAUGUAAAGAAAUCCAGGGGGACAGUAUUGUAAAGUGAUUUUUAAUCUCUCGUAUUUUCAUAUUCAUCUAUAUGGACCUGUGACCUAGAAGUUAAAACAAGACAGGGUUUUUAUUAUUGGUGAUGCCUGCUUAGCCCAUUCUUUUUCUUUUACUUAGAGGAAUACCAAAGGCUUAACGAGGAAUCAGGAUGAUAACAAAAUUGGUUUCUGAAUGGAGGUUAUUUCGAAAGGGGAGAGCCCAAUAAUGGACUACCACUAAACAUGCAUUCACUGCUAAUUUACAAUCCAAUUCCAUCAACACACUUGGAGAUCGAGCUAUGUUUGCAAAUGUUUUAUAUUGACAUUUAUUUAUCAAAGAUGAGUAACUGGAAUGUUUGCAGUAGCUUUUAGAUGGCAAGGGACCUGGUUUAAAGCAGUCGGCAGCCUCUUCAUCUUGUCUCCUCCAGAGACUCCUUCGCGAUUUCCUUGGAGAAAAAUCAGGGUGAUCAAGUCCACUAUGUCUGUCGUGGAAAUGCAGACCAAAAGAGGAGUGCAAUCAACUUGUAAAAGCCGGAAUAUCCAAUAAUGUUAAACUCUGGUGAACAGCAUUCGCUUGAUUGAACGGAUAGCAGGCGACUCUUCUACUUUACCUUUCCUCGUAAUCCCCGCUCCUCUGUCCUCGUGUACAUUCAUGUGAGUGUGAAUGUAUUCACGAUGGCGUCCUUCCACUCCUGUUUGUUUGUUUUCUUUGGACCCACCUUCAUCUCUGCGGAUGGAGCACCUAUGUCGGGCGGGAAUUCCCUGGCUUCAAGUCCACCUGGACGAGGUGUCCAUCCGUCCAUUAAAUUGGUUAAGAAGAAUGCAGUCCAGCCAGUUGAUUAGGUCGGGAAAUUAAGUCAGCGGUGGCCCACAUCUUUCUAGGGCAUACGAAUCGGAAGUGUAAUCCCAUCCCGGCCAUCCUUCAAGAAGCUGGUUUAACCGAUUAGAAAGUGAAUCCAGAUUUUCAGCCAGUGCAGAAAAGGCUAUACGUCAAAUUUUGCACCAACUCGCAACCAAACUCCAACACGAUCUGGUGCAGCCUGUCUUGCUCUCCUAGGAGUUACACACCUUAUGUAACAGAUACUGAUUGGAAUGGAUAGCUGUCUUGUCAACCAGGUACAUCAAAGGUGUUAGCUAUACCAGGAAUGAAGAUGACUACAACCACUUGUGGACAGCCACUUAACAUGGUUUCAUCACUUAUUUGCAGUUGGUUGGUGGUUGCACUAAUCAGACGUCCUUGUCAUCGCGUCUACUCCAGAGACUCCUUCGCGAUUUCCCGGAGAAAGAUCAGAAGGCCACCGGGCUGUUGUGGAAAUGCAGACCGAGAGAGGAGUGCAACCAACUAGAAUAUCGGACCUACGCGAAUGGAGCAAGGUUAUCUGCCAGUAUUCGACCCAAGAGAAGAGGAAAAUUGCAUCGCCAAUGCCGUUCAAGUCAUCAAGAGGUUAGUCAUUACGAUUUUUAGCAUGUGAGUUUAUGCUGAGGCACACUAGCGCGAUUAUGCUUUUACCAUUAGACUAAAAAAGGUUUUUUGAACGAUAA